rnacentral:lncRNA from 1 species
CCAUCUCUGUCUCCAUCAUGCCCGGGGCUGCUGGUUGGCUGUGGGCAAGAUGAAUUUUCAUUCAAAGAUGUCUACUGUGGAAUUCAUUGAUACUUUUGUUUUUUUAGGUAAUAAGUAUUUUACAAUGGGCCCUAUCGUGGAAUCUUCAUGAUGAGCAAAUAAAGAGAAUAUGGGGGCUCAGGGAAGCCCCACGUUCAGGGGUCACCUGGACAUUGUUCAGCGCAUCUGUGCCUGUCCCCAGGACUGAGUGUCCGAAGGACUGCCGUCCAACUUAGAAUAAAGGGAAAAACGCGGAUGCUGGUUUGCAAUGGCUGAGACUUCAUACUAUCAAAAUAAUUGUAGAAAUGCACAAUUUUGCAGGAAGAAAAUAAUGUUUUUAGAACUAGAGAUUUUCAACCUGACUUCCCUGAAUCUUCUCUUUCCCCUUGAAUCGGUGUGAGCACACACGUCUCCCAUGAGCUCCAGUUCUGGGACACUGGCACAGCUUUAGUUAAUUAACAGGAGUGAGUCAGCGAGGUUGAAAAUAUGUAUUGCAAAUCGAUGUGAGGAAGAGCUCCAGCUGUCUGAAGGAUCGUGGGGCUGUGGAUUUUAAAAAUGCACCUCUUCAUUUGGCUCCUAUUCCAGUCCAACCUCUUGCAAACUUGAAAACUCGUAAACAUGUCAUAGAAAGGGUUAUUGCAACUGCUAACAUAGAGAGACGCCUUCUUCCUGUCGACUGUCACAGCUGCCAGCCCCUCCCCAAGACAGGGAGCUCUAGAAUGAAAGUCUUCCAACACUUCUCCAAGCUGAGCUUCUCAGGGGCGUCUGUGGCUUCCACAUAGGGUAGGAAGGCUGAGCUUAACGGAUAAAGCCUUUCAUGAUCCGUCCCUGCAUCAUUUUCUCUCCCGAUUCUUCACCAACCAUCACCUUCUCUGGAGACUUCUGCUAGAAUUCCCACCAGGAUGCUCCAUAGGCUCCCGGCUUCAGCACUGCCCGCCUUCUCCAGCCGCCUAGGCAUUGGGUAUCUCUACCUCCUCCUCCUUGAGACCUCCACCCCCACCACACACACACACACACACACACACACACACACACACACACACACACACAAAACUGUUGCUUCCUCCCUGAUCCCCAGCUGCUCAGCACACAGGUCCCUCUCCAAGCUCCCGCUCAGGGCUGUGUGGAGCCCUGGUAUCUCAGAGGAGGUGCACUGAAUCCUGCCCGCAAAAUUGAACAAAGUGCCAACGAGGAAUCAAACAUACCUGCAACGUUAUCCCAGCGAAAGUCAGAGUUCAAACUUCAAUGCUGUGCCAGGCUUUCUCUAUGUCUGUGUACCUUAAAAUGCUAAAAUGGGACCACGGCGCACCUCCUGGUUUUCAGCUGGGACCCGCCUCACUUGGACCUGGUGACAGAGUGAACUAACUGCUGGGGCUCAGUCUCCUGACCUCUCCUUGGCUGCCUCAGUUACCCUGCUGCUGAUGAGGACGGCAACUUUCUGCUAUCACCUGCGGCUCUCUCAUGCAACGGUCCCCAACUUUUUGGCACCAGGGACUGGUUUUUUGGAAGACAAUUUUCCCACGGAUGGAAGUGGGGUGGAGAACGAUUUCAGGAUGAUUCAUUUGCUGGGCACUUUAUUUCCAUUAUUAUUCUACUGUAAUAUAUGAUAGAAUAAUUACACAACUCACCAUCAUGUAGAAUCAGUGGCAGCCCUGAGCUUGUUUUCCUUCAACCAGAGGAUCCCAUCUGAGGGUGAUGGGAGACAGGGACAGACCAUCAGGCAUUGGAGCCUCCUGCGCAGUUCACAAUAGGGUUCGCCUUCCUACGAGAAUCUGAUGCUGCUGUUGAUCCGGCAGAAGGUGGAGCUAGGACGGUCAUGCUCUCUCGCCCGUCACUCACCUCCCACUACAGGGCCCCGUUCCUAACUGGCCACCGACCGACUUGCGAACAUUAAGAAAAUCAUGUUUAGCGCCUAACGUAGAAGGAAGAAGAAAAACAUAUGAAAUGUAGCUUUUCAAUUAGUGACACCUUGAUCAUUUAAAUUGCUUACUAGAAAUAUUUCUUUCAUCUUUCUGAGUUUGAAACUUUGUGUAGUUUGACUCUUUCCCUGAUCUUCUCAAGAAAAAGUUAAAAUAAAUCAUGAGAAACAUUGAAAGAACUCCUUCUGGGACUUUGGAAGUAAGAAUUUCCAGCUUUCUCUGCUGAUGGAAACUGCCUGAGAUGAAUUCUGUAUCCUGAGGACAAUCUAAUUUUCCAGCAGAAAGCAAGAGUGUUCAUUUCUCUAUUCUUCUUCUUAGAAAAAAAAAAAUCAUUCUAAGCUUUUAUUUUAAUUCCCUCCAGGAAAACAAAGUGAAAAAAAAACAUUGCUUCUGGGCCGUCUGUGUUCCUCCUGCACCCCCCGCCUCCCGGCUUGGAUUGGCAAAGCUACUGAGGCAUGAAAAUUC